rnacentral:rRNA from 1 species
CGGCAUCAGCUUACCAUGCAGUCGAGGGGCAGCGAAUAGAUAGCUUGCUAUUUAUGUCGGCGACCGGCGCACGGGUGAGUAACGCGUAUCCAACCUGCCCAUAACUAAGGGAUAACCCAGCGAAAGUUGGACUAAUACCUUAUGUAUUCGUUUGAUCUCAUGAGAUUACGAAUAAAGAUUUAUCGGUUAUGGAUGGGGAUGCGUCUGAUUAGCUUGUUGGCGGGGUAACGGCCCACCAAGGCAACGAUCAGUAGGGGUUCUGAGAGGAAGGUCCCCCACAUUGGAACUGAGACACGGUCCAAACUCCUACGGGAGGCAGCAGUGAGGAAUAUUGGUCAAUGGACGCAAGUCUGAACCAGCCAAGUAGCGUGCAGGAUGACGGCCCUAUGGGUUGUAAACUGCUUUUAUAUGGGGAUAAAGUGGGGAACGUGUUCCCUUUUGCAGGUACCAUAUGAAUAAGGACCGGCUAAUUCCGUGCCAGCAGCCGCGGUAAUACGGAAGGUUCGGGCGUUAUCCGGAUUUAUUGGGUUUAAAGGGAGCGUAGGCCGUUUGGUAAGCGUGUUGUGAAAUGUAGGAGCUCAACUUCUAGAUUGCAGCGCGAACUGUCAGACUUGAGUGCGCACAACGUAGGCGGAAUUCAUGGUGUAGCGGUGAAAUGCUUAGAUAUCAUGAAGAACUCCGAUUGCGAAGGCAGCUGACGGGAGCGCAACUGACGCUUAAGCUCGAAGGUGCGGGUAUCGAACAGGAUUAGAUACCCUGGUAGUCCGCACAGUAAACGAUGGAUGCCCGCUGUUGGUACCUGGUAUCAGCGGCUAAGCGAAAGCAUUAAGCAUCCCACCUGGGGAGUACGCCGGGCAACGGUGAAACUCAAAGGAAUUGACGGA